GAAGCAACCAGACACUUCAUUCAUCUUCUCAGAAUGUUCAUUAACAUGUUCAGAAAGGUGGAAAACCUUACUUGCUAAAGAGAAGGAAAUUGGAGGCAUGGCCAAAAGUAUUCAAGGCCCUUUAUGAAAAAGAAAUGAAAACUGAUAUCCCUCCUAAAAGAGAAGUAAAACAGAAAUUCAGAGAUUCUAAUGCACCCGAAAGGCCUCCUUUGGGCUUUCACUUUGUGUUCUGAGUACUGCCCUCAAAUCAAAGGAGAUCCCGGUCUGUCCACUGGCAGUGAUGCCAAGAACCUGGGAGGGACAUGAGUGACCAUGCUGCAGAUGGCAAGCAGCCCAAAAAGAAGGCUUCUCAACUGAAGGAAAAGUACCAAGAGCAGAAUGCUGCAUAUCCAGCCAAAGGAAAGCUGAUGUGGCAAAAAUGAUGCUGUCAAGGCCGAAAAAGGCAAGAAAAAAAAACAAAGCGGAGAAAGACAGAGAAGGUAAGGAAAAUAAAAAAUGAAGUCGAUGAUAAUGACAAAUAA
rnacentral:lncRNA from 1 species